GUGAAAUGCGUAGAUAUCGGGAGGAACACCAGUGGCGAAGGCGGCAACCUGGCCUGUAACUGACGCUGAGACGCGAAAGCGUGGGGAGCGAACCGGAUUAGAUACCCGGGUAGUCCACGCCCUAAACGUUGCGCACUAGGUGUUGGCGAGAUUGACCUCGUCAGUGCCGCAGGUAACGCAUUAAGUGCGCCGCCUGGGGAGUACGGCCGCAAGGUUAAAACUCAAAGGAAUAGGCGGGGGCCCGCACAAGCAGCGGAGCGUGUGGUUUAAUUCGAUGCAACGCGAAGAACCUUACCUGGGCUUGACAUGCUUCAGAAACCGUGAUGAAAGUCAGGGCCUCUCGCAAGAGACUGUUGCACAGGUGGUGCAUGGCUGUCGUCAGCUCGUGCCGUGAGGUGUUGGGUUAAGUCCCGCAACGAGCGCAACCCCUGUUCUUAGUUGCAUAUCUAAGGAGACUGCCGGGCGAAACCCGGAGGAAGGUGGGGAUGACGUCAAGUCAGCAUGCCCUUUAUGUCCAGGGCUACACACACGCUACAAUGGCCGGUACAACGGGCUCCGACACGGCGACGUGAAGGUAAUCCCUUAAAACCGGUCUCAGUUCGGAUUGCAGGCUGCAACCCGCCUGCAUGAAGUUGGAGUUGCUAGUAACCGCUGGUCAGCACACAGCGGUGAAUACGUUCCCGGGCCUUGCACUCACCGCCCGUCACACCACCCGAGUCUCGUGCUCCCGAAGUCGCUGGCCGAACCCGCAAGGGGCGGAGGCGCCGAAGGAGUACGCGGUAAGGGGGGUGAAGUCGUAACAAGGUAACCGU
rnacentral:rRNA from 1 species